GAAAUGCGAUAAGUAAUGUGAAUUGCAGAUUUCAGUGAAUCAUCGAAUCUUUGAACGCACCUUGCACUCCUUGGUAUUCCGAGGAGUAUGCCUGUUUGAGUGUCAUUAAAUUCUCAAACCUCACAAGUUGUUUGACUUGUCCGAGGCUUUGGAUGUGGGUGUUGCUGGCUUUCACGAGUCAGCUCUCCUAAAAUGCAUUAGUGGUUACUGUUCACUACAUCCUGGUGUGAUAAUAUCUACGCCUAGUAGUGAUGUUAAGUGUAGCUGCUUCAAACCGUCCAUGAACUUGGACAACUUGAACCAUUUGACCUCAAAUCAGGUAGGACUACCCGCUGAACUUAA
rnacentral:misc_RNA from 1 species